GGCGCCCCAGUAUGUCGGUGAGACCUUUUCUAAUAACAUGUUUCACGACGUUUUGAAUAUGUUUCUUCGCCUAAUAUUUUUAUUAAUUAUAUAAUGCUGAUUUUUAUGCCUCGGGAAAAUUAUCAGCCAUGUUUCAUUGACUCUGCAAAUUCGUCGAUGCGUUUGGACUCGUUUGGACGUGUUGUCGACAUCUCAUGGUUGCUGAAAAUCAUUAUGGUCCUUAUAUCUUAUGAAAGCGUCAAAUUGAGUUAUUUCAGGUUAUCGAUUGGGGAUCCACGCUCUAAAUAGGUGAUAUUGGGUGGGAGUAAUUUUUCGUAUUUUGUUGAGUUAUGAACAAUUUAGAUUUUUAUAAAUUUGAUUGAUCAAUUGUGUUAUUUUUAUCGGUUAUUCAGAGGUAGAAAUUAAUUGUCUCUUAGUUUAGAACUUGCUUUUAUAUCAAAAGUAUUUACUUAAUGAACAUCAACUAUAUUCGAUAUUAAGAAUUUUUUUU